CGCACAUUGCGCCCUAUGGUAUUCCGUAGGGCAUGCCUGUUCGAGCGUCAUUGCACCACUCAAGCCUUAGCUUGGUAAUGGGUCAUCGCCCUCCGUUGGCGUGCCUGAAAAGUAUUGGCGGUCCGGUGUGACUUUGAGCGUAGUCAAUGUUGGAACGAAUGUUCCGUCCCCGCCCUGAAAGCUUCACGCCGAAGACUUGCCGGAGAACCGGGACCUCUCCCCCCUCUCGGGGUUCAAGAGGGCCCCCCUUUUAGAGAAUUGACCUCGGAUCAGGUAGGGAUACCCGCUGAACUUAA
rnacentral:misc_RNA from 1 species